rnacentral:rRNA from 1 species
AGUGAACGCUGGCGGCAGGCCUAAUACAUGCAAGUCGAACGGCAGCACAGCAGAGCUUGCUCUGUGGGUGGCGAGUGGCGGACGGGUGAGGAAUACAUGGGAAUCUGCCCAGUCGUGGGGGAUAACGUAGGGAAACUUACGCUAAUACCGCAUGCGCCCUUCGGGGGAAAGCCGGGGACCGUAAGGCCUGGCGCGAUUGGAUGAGCCCAUGUCGGAUUAGCUAGUUGGCGGGGUAAAGGCCCACCAAGGCGACGAUCCGUAGCUGGUCUGAGAGGAUGAUCAGCCACACUGGAACUGAGACACGGUCCAGACUCCUACGGGAGGCAGCAGUAGGGAAUAUUGGACAAUGGGCGCAAGCCUGAUCCAGCCAUGCCGCGUGAGUGAAGAAGGCCCUCGGGUUGUAAAGCUCUUUUGUCCGGAAAGAAAGCGCCGGGUUAAUACCCUGGUGUCCUGACGGUACCGGAAGAAUAAGCACCGGCUAACUUCGUGCCAGCAGCCGC